rnacentral:rRNA from 1 species
CGGCGGACGGGUGAGUAAUGUGUGGGGAUCUGCCUGAUGGCGGGGGAUAACUACUGGAAACGGUAGCUAAUACCGCAUAACGUCGCAAGACCAAAGAGGGGGACCUUCGGGCCUCUUGCCAUCGGAUGUGCCCAGACGGGAUUAGCUAGUAGGUGGGGUAACGGCUCACCUAGGCGACGAUCCCUAGCUGGUCUGAGAGGAUGACCAGCCACACUGGAACUGAGACACGGUCCAG